AGAAUUCCUCGCCCUGCUGCAGAAGAUCAAUCCUGGGUUGUGCUCACCAAAGCAAACCUCUUUUUUGUGUAUUCAGUGUCUUAACUAUGUAAAAGACAACUAUAACAGGGUGUACAGUGCUGUUUCUGAAAUUGACGAAUCUUCUUGUGAUGAAGAUUGAAGAAGCUAUUGCCAUCCAAGUGGAAAAAGUCCCGCCUUUGUCACCCUCGGCCUCCUCGAAUAGAACUAAGAAAAUGUGGAGACUUUCUUCAUUUAGUUCCCAAUCAAGUGGACCAGAUGUUGAUUUGUUUGAAAUGGACUGAGACUUGUGUUUCAUAUGCCAGGUUGAACAGACGUUAGAAACGAAAAAGGAUAGUCUGAUUCAAGGAAAAGAUAAAAGUUUCUUCGUCGAUUUCGCAACAUACUAUCUGUGGACAUCUACAGAAAUCGUCAGGAUCUGUGCAACAUCGAUGUUAAUCCUGAUUCGCACAUGAACAAGUGCCCUGUUCUUAACCCUGAGAGUCUCGGAAAAUAUCUCUAUAGCAAGCUAGGUAGAUAUCACAAAACGUGUCGUUUGAGGUACAGCAACUCGAGGGUGAAACAAUUGAAGGGUAAAUUAUCUGAAGCUGUAAGUUUAAAACCUGUCUCUAAAAACCUGUUUUAAAAUGGAAAGACACGUGUCCACGCACGACAACACCAAUGCUGCAUUAAUGAGUGCAGGUAUUGACGCUGUACGGACCUUUUAACUGGAGCAGGAGAAUGUUUUACCAGAACUGUACCUCGUGUCUGACCUGAAGCUUAAGUACAAUGACUAUGUGACGUCUAAUU